rnacentral:rRNA from 1 species
AUUGAACGCUGGCGGCAGGCCUAACACAUGCAAGUCGAGCGGAUGAGUGGAGCUUGCUCCAUGAUUCAGCGGCGGACGGGUGAGUAAUGCCUAGGAAUCUGCCUGGUAGUGGGGGACAACGUUUCGAAAGGAACGCUAAUACCGCAUACGUCCUACGGGAGAAAGCAGGGGACCUUCGGGCCUUGCGCUAUCAGAUGAGCCUAGGUCGGAUUAGCUAGUUGGUGAGGUAAUGGCUCACCAAGGCGACGAUCCGUAACUGGUCUGAGAGGAUGAUCAGUCACACUGGAACUGAGACACGGUCCAGACUCCUACGGGAGGCAGCAGUGGGGAAUAUUGGACAAUGGGCGAAAGCCUGAUCCAGCCAUGCCGCGUGUGUGAAGAAGGUCUUCGGAUUGUAAA